GAUCUACAGAAACACAAGAAAACUUCACAUGUAAAAAAUGAUAGGAGACAGCAGUUGAGGAAUACCAAUUAAUUGACAGACUAUUCCAAACAAGUUAUGAUUCUCUUGGCAAAACAGCUUCAUCAAGAGUCUCACCAGCCUCUCCCUUGGGAACAUAAAGACUCAGACAAGGGGGGGGGGGGGGGUUCGGGGAGACAAGGCUAGACACCUGCCCCCAAUGGGAAAACGAAGAACACACCUGGAAAGCAGCUCUGACAACGGGAGCCAAGGGGAGAACAGUAAGUGGAGAAGAGAGACUGCUUCCAAUCUGUUGCUGGUUUAUAAGGUAAAUCUAUUCCUGGAGUAAAAGGGAUACAGUAGCAGCACAAUAAAAACUGGGGCAAGG